rnacentral:ncRNA from 2 species
GAGAAUCUUGAUGAUGCUGC